rnacentral:lncRNA from 1 species
CUUAAUUAUACCCUUUCCGGAGUUCCCAGAGGUGUUCCUCCAUGCAAAGAUCCUUCAGCCCUUGUUAGGAAGUGGAGAGCACCCUCACUGGUUUUCCUUUAUUUAAUUGCUCCGGAAUAUUGCCUCAUUGGCCUCUUUGUCAUAGUGUUUCCAUUGUUAUUUGUCUUCACCUGGUUAUAUCAUUUUAGGCCUUGUCAAGACCUGCAACUACUUUGUUCACUCAUGUGUGUGCACACAUAUGUGCAGCUUCAUUUUACAUAUGUGUGCCUAUGGAGGCUAGAUGUGUGCAUAUGAAGCAUGUCUUCUAUGCCCUCCAUCUCAUUUGUAAAGACAGUAGCACACUGAGUUUGAAGCUUGCUUAUUUGGCUGGACUGGCUGUUUAGCAAGUCCCAGGGACUCUUCAGCCUGUGCCUCCAGAGAUACAGGCACCUGGCUUUUUAACAUCUGUGUUGCUGACUGAAUGCAAGUCCUUCUGCUUGUAUGGCAAGCAUGUGACUGUCUUUACUUCAUCUUCCCAGGCCUUCUUUCACUGAUUUAGCAUUUUCUCCCACACUGCUAUCCACUCUUAGUAAGCCAAACCUGAGACAAACUUAGCUGGCCUCUCCUUCUUGAGGUUGGGAAAGGGAGACAGUUGAUGGGGGAAGUACUUCUGUGUAUGUUUAUCUUAUUGAUUGUUUAAUAAAGUUCUGUUUGGCCAAUGAAACAUCAAGUUAGGCAGGACUAGGAGUCAAAGAGGAUUCUGGGAAAUGUAGUAGAGAAGUGGUGAUCCAGGCAGCAAGUGACAUAGUAAGGAGACUCAUAUUUAAGCGAAGGAGAAACAGGAGGGGCCCUCUUUUUUCCCCUCUGCUCCUGCUCCAGUGGCACAAUAUGAUCCACCAACAAGGAGGGACUCCAAUAAGACGUCUGUUGAGCAAACGAAGGACCGGAGUUUUGUAGUUUCUUGGCCAAGGCCUCUGAUCUUUAUGCUGUCUUCUGUCUCAUAUGAGCUCCAGGCCUCCAUGGCCACCCACAUGACAGUAAGGAGUCAAGACUGUGCCUCCUCUUAAAGAUGAUAAUCAAAACAUUAAGGAUUUCUGUUGCCUGGGAGAAUGCUGUCUGUUUCACUGGCUUUUAUAUUCAGCACAACUGAACAUGGCAUUUGAGAGACAGCAAUUGCUCAGAGGUAUUUUCUGAGUCAUCGUUCAGCAGGUAUGUGAGCACAUCUGGCUG